UUUGGAAGUUUUCUUCCAGAGUCGGAAUCGCGUCUCGGCUCUGUCCGUGGCGUGGUGCCUGCUCUGCUGUCCGCUCGGUCUCUUUAUUCUUGUCCGCCUGUGUUGUGGGAUGCGUUUCUAUUUGCUGCAGUGGGGCUCUUGCUGCAGCGACACGGGGGAGCCAUGCCAUCUUGUGGUGCCAUGGCUCUUUUGCAUCGGCUCUUAUGAAAAUGGGUACAUUACUAUCCUUCCUAAGAAUGCUCAGGUUGUGCUCCCCUUGCACAAUUUUUGUGUGCAAAUCUGGAGGUUGCAUUUCCUCCUCAUCUUCUCUCUGCUUCAGAAGCUUUAGA
rnacentral:lncRNA from 1 species